rnacentral:lncRNA from 1 species
UUUUGUUUUUUUUUUUUUUGUUUGCUUCUAUUUAUGUUUCAUUUGAAAGAAAGAAAAUCUUGUGUUUAUAAAAAUCUUGUGUUUAAAAGGUCAAUAUAAAUAUAAAGUAAUAAUUUUUGGUUUUUUGGUGGAUCAGUCAAUAAGUUUUAGGUCCGGCAUCUUAAAAAAUUUGAAAUCUCCUUUCAAAAUGUUGUUAAUUUGAUUUUUCAUACACAAAAUAUGUUCUAAAGUACCAGAUAAUUUUCAUUCCAACACAAUUAAAAUUUAUCAUUUUACCUCGUAAAGUUUUACCAUACUUGACAAUUUUAAGGUAUGCUUAUGCUGGCUCUUAGCAAAUACUUGCUAUAGUCUUUAAUAAAAUUUUCUUUUAUAGCUGAGUUGUGGUUAAAAAUAAUUGCUAUUGAGCUUAUAGUUUAGUAGAUGAAAAAAUAAUUAAUAUCAAAAUCAAUCUUACUUUAAUUUCAAUUUGGUUAGUUUCUUGUCAAUGUAGUUCAAUGGGUUGGUCUCAUUCUUUUAGAAUAAAGAAACAAAAUGUUAUGGUUUAAAAUGAUACGCUUAGUGUGGAGCGGCGUGCGGUAUACUUAAAAAAAAAAAAGUGCAAAUACUUAUAUAUUAAACAAAUUAUAAUGUUGACUAUUGCGAUGACUUUUCAAACAUACAAGCAAUGUGAAAAUUAUUUUUACGUGUUGAUUACAAUUUAAGCAAUCAAACCCUACUUUGCAAAAACGAUUACAAGGAAUCCAUAUUAUUUGUAAGAAAUUUAAAUAAAGAAGAAGUUUAAGCAAUUAGUCAAUUACAUUUUCAUUAAUUUCUUUACUUUUAAAUCAUGAUUAUCUUUUAUCUUUAAAAUUACUAUAACAUAAGUUUAAUUUAAUUAUUUUACCUCAUAAAAUAUAAUGGUUAAAUUCCUCAAAAAGAACAUGUGCUAUUAUUUCAUAAUAAUUUAGAUGUUACCUAAAUAAUCAGAGGCGAAGCUAUUGGUAUCUCUAGGGCGGCCCAAGACACCGCCAGCUCAAAAAAGGGCAAAAAAAAAAAAAGUUCUAGGAAUGAUUAAGAUGGUUUAAAAAUUUGCCCAUUUGUGUAAAUUUUACAUUUGGCCUCCCAUUGUUUAGACAAUUUUGUUUAGGCCAUUCAAUUUACUAUUUGUCUAUUAUAACCCCCAUUGUUGGCUCUUCAAUUUUAUAACUUUUGUGUUAUAACCUAGUCAAGUUCGUUUGUUUUCAUUUUGAUCCCUAUAAAACUAAAAUCCUUAAUCCGCCGCUAUAUAAUCUAAUGUUUUUAAAUGCCCAUCUGUCAAAAUUUUGAAAUCCUGAUAUAUUUCAUAAGAUAUGACAUUUCAAGGAGAUUUUCUUAAUUUAAUCGAAAAUUUAUAAUUAUACUGAUAAUUAGUGUGAAUAAAUCAUUUACAAUUAAAAAUUUAAAUUUUGUUAAAAACUUUAUUUUUUUAAAUAAUUUUGUGGGUAUUUUCAUACUUUUACCUUAAAUAAUUAAUUUUUCUUAAUGUUCUUCCAAUCUUAAUAUCAAAUGUCGUAAAUAGUCCUAAAUUAAAAAAAAUAAAUUAGAUAAUCAUGAUUUAGCUAAUUGAUUGUGUAAAUUUCUUCUAAAUGUGAAUUUUUUUAAAUAAUACAGUUUUUAUAAUUAAUUCUUUUAAGUGGGGCGCAUUUCUAUUAAUAGACUAAGUGGUGUAAUUGAUACAACUCAUCAUUUUUAUGAAGAAAAAAAACUUAUGUAAAACUGUUUUAUCACGUGACCGUAUAGAUAUAAUAAGUAUCAUCCAGCAAACCUUUGACGCAUAAACCUAUCACUUUAAAUUAAAAAACUAUCUCUCUCUUUCAUGUAGUAAAGAUUGGUUGGAUGAUCUUAGCACGGUGAAUCAUAUGGUAGGCUUAUCCUAUAUAAUUUUUUCUUAUUUAUCGAGGACAUAUCUACCGGCAUGGGUAAAUAGACAAUUGACCCUAUAACUUUUUUAAAAUUUUAUUUUUGAUUUUUUUAAAAAAAUACACCAAAUAAAAUAUUAAAUAUUAAAACAAGUUAUAUAAUUUCUGCUCAAAAUUAUUUCUUCCUUUUAGUGAUAUAUAAUAAAUCGUAUAAAAAGUGAGUUAUCUUGUUGUCCCUUAUAGUCAAUUUUCUUAACUCCACCCCUAAGUUCAUAGCUCUUUUUCACUGAUCUAAGCUUCAUCAUCAAACCCAACUUUAUACCCCUACACAAACAACAGAAUAUGAUCUAAAUCUCGAUCCUAGAUCCCUUAGUUUGCUUAUGGUAGGUUAGAUAAUCAUCACGCGUUUUCAAAAUUUCAUGUAACUUCUGAAUUAUGUUGAGUUUGUCAAAACCUGAGGGGAGGCAUGUGAAAUUACUCUGUAUUUAAUUUUAAACAAACAAGCAGUUUGUACAUUUUACGGCAGCUUAUUUUAUUUUUUCUUCCCAAAACCUCAAGAUGACGUGGCAAUGGAAAUUACUCGACUAUGCGAUUGAAAAUUCAACUAGAAACGAAGAGAUUUUCUUCUCUCUUGUCUCUCGGACGCCAAUUGACCCGAAAAAUCAACGAGAAUGGAGACAUCGGCGGCGUCAGGUGGCCCCGGCGGACUAGGAGGAGGGCCGGCGCCGUUUCUUAUAAAGACUUACGACAUGGUUGACGAUUCAUCAACGGACGAGAUCGUGUCUUGGAGCGACAACAAAAACAGUUUUGUUGUUUGGAACCCACCUGAAUUCGCUCGUCUUCUGCUUCCAACUUAUUUCAAGCAUAACAAUUUCUCUAGCUUCAUUCGACAGCUCAAUACCUAUGUGAGUUCAUUUUCAAUUUAUUUAUUUUUUUCAGUUUCAAUAUCAGUCUCAAUUUUUUUAUUUAAUUCAGUCUCAAUUUUUUUAUUUAAUUUUGAUUUAUUUUUUUCAGUUUCAAUAUCAGUCUCAAUUUUUUUAUUUAAUUUUGUUUUUUUUUUUUUGGUUUCGUUAUGAUUCUAUCAUAUUACUUAUAUCAAGCUAUUUGAUAAUUUCAUAACUCUGUGCAUAAAUUGCUGCAAUUGUUAUGAAUUUACAUGGGGAAAAAAAAAGUUGGUCAACGCUUUAAAAGGCUCUUAAAUUAUAAUUUGCAAUCGGAAAUAAUUGUUUAUUUGGUAGCUAAAUGUGUGAUCUGGUAGGUGCAAAUUAUUAUCAACAAGUCAUUUCUAUGGAACCAUGAUAAUGCAGUAUGAGUUUGUGAAAAUUUGCUUGGAGCUGCUAAGGUUGGGGUGUGUGGUGGUGACUGCUAAGACAUCGUGUCAUAUGUAGUUCUAACAGAAUUUGUCCGUUCAUACUCUUCUUUAUUUUCACUUGGUGUAUUUGUGUCCUUUCUCGAAGUUGUAUUCCUUUUGGUUAUGUGCUAAGUUUUCAGAUCUUCAAUGAUGAAGAUGGGGUGUUCUAGGUUCCACCUUAGUUUUUGUGUAAAAGGAACAUUUCUUAUAAGACCUUGCUGAUGAAAAAGUUACAAUAAGUUUGUUUUGUACUAUGAAAUGUGAUAAUUUGUUUCAGUUACAUUGGAUGAUAGAUAUGUAUAUUCCCAUAAGCAUGCACACCACGCAACAGGUCCUAACUUUAAUGUAGAUUCCUUUAAUUGGGAAAUAACUGUAUUGCAAUGUACAUUGUAUGGACAGCUGUAACUUUGAACUGGCUCUUUUCUCUUUUUUUUUUUUUUUUGGGUUCAAUUAGAUGAUAGUUUCAAAAAUUUGAAGUUAAGUCCUUAGAUCUUAGUGCAGCAUACAUAGUCUGGCAAUCAGUUAUGGUUUCUGUAGCUGAAGUCUGAUAAAAAUUACAAAUAAUUAAUUUUAUGACUUGGUUGAUGAGUGGUGGUGACUAGCUCAUUUGGCCUCCUUUAAGCAUGUUGGAGGUCAGCAUCCGACAUAUAUCCAUGUGGCCGUAGAUGUAAAUAAUCUAACACAUGGUUUGCAUAUGUUGUUUGGUCAACUCUAUGCUUAAUAGAAGUCUCGGAAAGUUUGUUUCAUUAAAGUGAUCUCGGAAAAUCUUGUUUUCUUGUGUCACAAAAUUCAAUAGAAGCAUUUUUAUAUAAUUUAAUAAUCUUAUACUGGAUUUAUGAUUGGAAAAAGGUAUGUAAAAGUAAGACCUUUUAAUUUUUUUUUUUUUUUUCCUCUUGUUGAAAGUUAGACAAAAUAAAAUAUACUAUCCUUCUUGUUCGUAUAUGAGCUGGUGCAUGUGAAUUUUCCAUAGUAUAUUAUUCACUACAUACAAGCAAUUUAUUUGCAAUCCAAGUUUUGUUAGGUUACUACUAGGGUACCAUUGCCUUCUAAAAAUAUGGCAACAAAAGGGUUUGCAUUUGAGCUGAAAAAUGACUUCUUAAACUAAUGCUUAUGAUCCCACUAGAAAUACAAAUGUUAAGCUUGUGAUGGCUUCUUUCUUUAUUUCCUUUGCAUAACGAAGCAUUGGUUUGUCAAUAUCAAUAAGUUUGUGGUCCUAUCUCCAAACUUUCCACUUUUAGUUAUUAUACAUAAGCAUUUGUAUGUACCUUUAUGGCUUUACCUGCUGGUAGUGAGCUGUUGCUGCAUUGUGAAAGUUAGUUAUGAUAUUUAGAGAAUACUUUUAUAACAGUAACACUAUGUUGCCAUUAUGUAGAGGCAAUGUACUAUAGCCUGAGUUUACAGAUUAUUGUAACUCUUACAUUGGAAUUUUGGACGUGGUUUCGGUCACGUCUUAGGAACUAUUAGUCUCAAUCAAACCAUAAUAAAGCCUUUCUUGAGAGGCAUUUUUAUCACAUUUAGCUCUGCCUGCUGUUGUGUCCCGUUGUAUGUAUUCUGCACCAGUAACCGUAGCUCACUGUAUAGUUAUUUCAGACUCUGGAGCUGGAUCCAUGUGUAUUCCACACUCAUGCUCAAGAGUCAAGACAUGUAUUGAUGUCUGUGAUCUACAUAAUAUUGAAAACAGUUCUUUCAGGCUAUCCAUUUAUUUUGAUUUCAGAAACUCCUCUAUGACUCCUUGUUUCCACCGGAACAUGACUCCUUAGGUUGGUGAGAAAAAAUAUUGGGAAAAUAUUUCUAAUUCAUAGAAGUUGCAAUCUUUACAUUAUAUACUACUCUGACUAGGCUAUAUAAGGAAGUAAUAGGAAAUUAAGAAAAAUAAACUAUACAAGGAAAGAAUAAAUAUAUGUACACAAAAUUAGGCUACAAUCUCUGACUUUCAACACUCCUCAAGCUGGCUUGAAGAUAUCUAUUGUUCCCAGCUUGGAAUUCAGUGAUUGACAGACUUGUUUUGAUAGUCCCUUGUUGAGAAUAUCAGCUACUUGCUUUUGAGUAGUAACAUAUGGAAUGCAUAUCAGACCUCUCUGCAGCUUCUCUUUGAUAGAAGUGCCUAGCAAUCUCAAUAUGUUUUGUCCUAUCAUGUUGGACUGCAUUAUGAGCAAUGCUAAUGGCAACUUUAUGAUCAGAGUACAGUCAUUUAUCCAGCUUUCCACAUCUUCAACUCAUUAGAAACAUUGUCAGCUGCAUAAGCUCACAAAUCCCCAAUGCCAUUGCUCUAAACUCAGCUUCAGCACUUGAUCUUGGAACCACUGAUUGUUCCUUGCUUCUCCAAGUAACUAGAUUUCCCCCAACAAAUGUACAAUAACCUGAUAUUGACUUUCUAUCAACAAAGGAUCCAGUCCAAUCCGCAUCUGUAUAUGCCUCAAACCUUAGGUGAUUAUUCUUAGAGAAUAAAAUGCCUUUUCCUGGAGAUGCCAUCAAAUAUUUCAGUAUCCUAAACACAGCUUCCACGUGCUAUACAUUUGGGGAAUGCAUAAAUUGACUCACAACGCGUACUGCAAAUGUAAUGUCUGGACGAGUAUGACACAAAUAGAUUAGCUUUCCAACUAAGCUUUGGUACUGUUCCUUAUUAACCAAACUACUUUUAGUACUUACCCCAAGUCUAUGAUUGGAUUCUAUAGGAACAUCGCUAGGUUUGCAUCCUAACAUCCCAGUUUCUUUCAAGAGAUCCAAAAUAUAUUUCCUUAGUGACAAAAAUAUCCCUUUCCGAGACCUGGCCACUUCAAUUCUGAGGAAAUAUUUCAGAGAACCUAGGUCUUUAGUUUCAAACUCUUUGGUUAACAACCUCUUAAGUCUUUCAAUUUCAUCUCUGUCAUUUCCAGUCAAGAUAAUAUCAUCCACAUACACGAUAAGGAUAGCGAGCUUAUCUUCAUAACCAUGCUUGGGAAGCAUGGUAUGAUCACUAUGGCUUUGUAAAUAUCCACAUUUGCGAAUAAAUCUCACAAAUCUGUCAAACUAGGCUCUAGGUGAUUGCUUGAGCCCAUAUAAAGACUUUUUCAGCUUGCAAACUUUGCCUCUUUCAAAAUAUUCUCAAACCCUGGUGGUGGAUUCAUAUACACCUCCUAUUCUGAAUCUCCAUGGAAAAAUGCAUUCUACACAUUUAGCUGCUGUAAUGGCCAUUUUAAAUUUGUAGCAAGUGACAACAGGACCCGAAAAGAGUUAAUUUUUGUAACAGGGGCAAAUGUCUUUCGGUAAUCAAUUCCAUAUGUCUGAGUAUAUUCCUUAGCCACCAGUCCAACCUUGAAUCUCUCAAUUGAUCCGUCAGCCUUAUGCUUAACCAUGAAUACCCAUUUACAACCCACGGUUCUCUUUCCAGAAGGCAAGUCUGCAAGAGCACAAGUUCUAUUUUUAUACAAUGCUCUCAGUUCUUCACAAAUCGCUUCUCUCCACUUUGGAUUUGCAAGAGCAUCCUGUACUGUUCUAGGAGUAGUUACAGAUGACAGAUUAGUAGCAAAAGCUUUAAAUGAUGGUGACAAUCUAUGAUAAGAGACAAACUUAGAAAUAGGAUGUUUAGUGCAAGUUCCAACACUUUUUAUAUGAGCGAUAUGCAAAUCUAAAUCCAAAUGAAAUGAUGGGAGAGAGUUUAAAUGUAAUUUAGACUCAGAUUGAACAAUACCGGUGUCUUCCAACAACUCUAUGUUCGAUUCAGAAUUCUGGCAGUCGGGAGAUGUACAAACUGUUUUAUUUCGUUGAGAAUACACCUUUGGCUUUUGAGCAUCCUCUAGAUUUCGUGUGGUGGAUGGUUGAAUUUGUGAAGGCACUUGCUGGUCAUCACUUGGGUUAGGUUGUUUCUGUGGGGAAGAGCAAUCUUGUUCCUCUUGCUGAUUGUUAUUGGAAGGUGGCAGAUUUUGUGGAGAGCAAACUGUCAAAAGGAGAAGUUGAAUUUGUGAUAUUAUCUCUAAAAGAUGUCUCACCUGAGUAUGUGGAUUUUGGAAAAAACUUGCAAAACUGAUCUUCCAUAUUAUAUUCCUCCCCCUGAAGAUAGGUUUUGGAGAAAUAAGUCUUAGUUUCAAAAAAAAAAAAAAAAACACAUCCGUGGUUACAAAACAUUUCCUAGUUGGAGAAUGAAAACAUUUGUACCCUUUUUGUGUAGGAGAAUAACCUAAAAACACAACUUGAGAGACCUAGGAUCAAGCUUACUUUUGUCAUGAUUCUUAUCAUGAACAAAAGCAACACACCAAACAAUUUAGGAGAAAGAACUAAAGAACCGAGACAUGGGAUAAAGUUGCUGAAGAAGUUUGAUUGGGGUUUUAAACUUCAAAGUACUAGUAGGGAAUCUAUUUAUGAGAUAACAGGCAGUUAAAACCGCUUCACCCCACAAAUAAUUUGGUACCCCUAUAGUAAACAUCAAAGAUCGAGCAACUUCAAGUAACUGUAUAUUUUUUCUUUGUGUGAUUGGGGAGUAUCAACACAAGAGAAUUGAUGAACAAUUCCAUUCUCAGUCAAAUAGUUUCCCGAGAUAGAAGAAAAAAAUUCUUUGCCAUUGUUAGUUUAAAACACUCCUAUUUUUCGCUUGAGAUUGGGUUUGAACCACUUUAUGGAAGAUUUGAAUAGUUUUAGGAACUUCAGAUUUUUCUUUUAAUAAAUACACCCAACAAGCUCGAGUAUGAUCAUUAAUAAAAGUGACAAACCACUUAGCUCCAAAAUUAUUGGCACAGAGAGGACCCCAUACAUCACUAUGUAUAAGAGAGAAACUUUAUAAGUUUGGGCAGGAAAAUGUGUACGAUGAUGCUUGGACAAUUCACACACUUCACAUUUAAAUAAUGUUGGGAACAACAACUUUAAAUAUGAAAAAUUUGGAUUUCCUAAUCUGAUUUGCAACAAACUAGUGUCAUGCUCACUAGGCACUUGAGAAACAAUUUUGUCAACUAAGGAUAGAUUACUCAAAGCUUCAGGCUCCUCUUCCAAAUAAUAAAGUCCAUCCACCUCCUUAGCAUUGCCAAUCUUCUUCCCCGUACAUAGGUCCUGAAAUUCACAAUUGUAAGGAGAAAAUUUAGCCAUACAGUUAAAGUCUUUUGUAAGCUUACUGACAGACAAAAGAUUACAAGACAAAUUAGGGACGUGCAACACUGAUUUUAAGAUCAUUGUUUUAGAAGCUGAAAUUGAAUCUUUUCCUGCAACUGAAGAAAGAGACCCAUCAGUGAUUUUUGCCUUUUCUUUACUAGAAAGAGGCGUGUAAGUAGAGAAUAAGUUGGACAAAGUAAUCGUAUGAUCGGUUGCCUCUCAAUCAAUGAUCCAAGGCCAAGUAGUAGUUGAAGAGAUACUGAAAGCAUUUAAAAAAUUAUCUGAUUGGGCUAGAUCAGAAGAAGAGGUUUUGACUCAUGAACCUGACAAGUUGCUUAAGUUGGCCCUUAGUGAACAGAUUUGAUCCUUGAUUCCAUGAGUUUGCAUUGGCGUUAUCAGUUGCAGCUUGAAAACCCUUUGAAUUUUGUCCAGAAGACUUGUUAUCCUUCCCCCAGUUUUAUGGCCUUCCAUGGAGCUUCCAGCAAAACUCGUUGGUAUUUCUUGGCUUAUGGCGAUAUAUCACACCAAAGUUUAUUCUUGUCAUCUUUCUUCUUGCUCAUAUUCUUUUAUUCACCUACCAAUGCUGAAUCAGUAGCACAUUAAUCAAGGCAGAAUUAUCAGUAUUAGGGCUGGUCAUCAUUACCUUUCAUCUACUUUCUUCCCUUCCGACAUAUGCAUAGACUUCCCUAAUUGCAGGAAGAGGUUCUUUGCUUAGUACUCGUCCCCUAACUUCAUCCAAAUCUGGAUUCAAUCCAUCCAAAAACUCAAACACCCUCUCCUUCUCCUGUAACCUCUUAAAUUUUUUACUGUCAUCUCCACACUUCCAUUCUCCAUCAGAGUACAAAUCCAUUUCUCGCCAUAAGCUAUUCAUGAUAUUGUAAUAUACUGUUACAGUGUCACUUCCUUGUUUGGUUUCAUGAAUACGACACUUAAGUUUAUACAACUGUGUAGUAUUUCCAAUAUCAGUAUAUGUCUCUGUGACUGCAUCCCAUAAAUCUUGUGCUGAUGGUAAGAAAAGAAACGCUGACUAAUGUGAGGGUCCACUACAUUACCAUAGAGUUCUGUUCAUCCCAGAUUUUAUACAAAGGGUCGUCAGCCUUGGUAUGUCUAUUGACCCAUCUAGAGAGCCCACUUUACCUUUUUCCUUCACAUACAACUGUGAGACUUCAUGGACUGUGACCACUGCAGAAAGUUUUGGCCAUUCAAUUUGUGAGUUUAAUCGGCAAUGACGGAUUGUCAACAGAACUAUUGGCCUGAACAUGUUUAACAUUGACACCAGAGCUGGAUUCGCUCACAUCUGACAUUUUAAAUCAGAAUUUUGAAGUCACAGAACAAGAUAAAACCCUAGAGGUAUUGGUGGCUAAAAAAUUUGUUGACAAAAAAGAUGCCCAGGAACCCGAACGUGGGCUCUGAUACCAUGAGAAAAAAUAUUGAGAAAAUAUUUCUAAUUCAUAGAACUUGCAAUCUUUACAUUGUACGCUACUCUCACUAGGCUAUAUAAGGAAGUUAUAGGAAAUUAAGAAAAAUAGACUAUGCAAGGAAAGAAUAAAUAUAUGUACACAAAAUUAGGCUACAAUCUCUGACUUUCAACAGUUGGUUUUAUUUGGUUUCUCCGUAGGUUGGUUUAUUGGAUUUCUUUUACGUUGCUAUGUUGCUCUAUUACAAAUUUGUAUUGUUUACUUCAACUUUACUUGCUGAUUGUGGAUCAUUUGGGCAAUCCAGGAUCAUCUAUGGUAAGUUUUGAUAUUUUAGUAAAAUAUUAAUUAAACUUGGAUGAAUUUAUGUUAGUCCAAUCAGGAGGCAGAUUUAUCAUACUAUUGUUGUAGUCGCAAAUGUGGAUAAAUUGUAGUUUGAGUUUUCAAUUAGGAUAAGUAUGAUUUAACUGUGCCAAUGUGGAUGUUAUUCAAUGACAGGGAUUCCGAAAAAUUGAUCCUGAGAAGUGGGAAUUUUCAAAUGAUGAUUUUGUCAAGGAUAAAAGGCAUCUUCUUAAGAAUAUCCACCGCAGGAAACCUAUUCACAGCCACAGUCACCCUCAGACUCAGGGUUCAUCAGUGGAUCCUGAGAGAGCAACAUUUGAGGAACAAAUGGAGAGGCUUUCACAUGAGAAAUCUGCACUGGAGGCAAAUAUUGUAAGAUUAAAACAGCAGCGGUCAACUGCAAAGCUUCAGUUAGAAGACCUUGCACAGCGAAUUGAUAGUAUGGAUCAGAGGCAGGAGAAUUUGUUGACCUUCUUGCAAAAGGCUGUUCAGAAUCCUACUUUUGUUGAUCAUCUUGCCCGAAAAAUUGAGUCUAUGGAUAUCUCAGCAUACAAUAAGAAACGACGAAAACCACAAGUUGAUCAAUCAAAGCCAAUUGUGGAAAGUAGUCUUUUGGACAACAAUAGCUGUUCUACUUCCAGACCUGAGUCUGGGAAUAUUUUCCACCAAGAUUUCUCAAAUAAGCUCAGGUUAGAAUUAUCACCAGCUGUUUCUGAUAUUAAUUUGGUUUCACAUAGCACACAGAGUUCCACUGAAGAUAGGGGAAGUCCGCAGAAGAAAAUUUCUGAGGUGGAACCAAAAGUUGCACACACAAGAACAGAAGGCAAUUUAUAUGUGCCCGAAACAUUUGAACUUUCAGAUACUGGGACAUCUUUUACAUUUAAAAUGGACUCAACUUUCUCGAGAAAAGUACCAGCAAAUGAUAGCUCGAGAGUUUAUUCGUUGCAGCGGAGAUCGACUUCUAAUGAAGAGGUUGAUGGCCAUGUUUCUUGCCACUUGAAUUUAACUCUGGCAUCUUCUCCUCUGCAAAUCAACAAAGGGCUUCAUUCAUCUAGGAUGCCCCAGCCAAGUAAGGAUAUUGCCAAAACUACAGAAUUGAGGUACAAUUCUAAUGACGAGGAAUCUGAUACUAGACCAUUUCCUAGCAACAGGAAUCUGGGUCAUGAGGAUGCCUCUAUAGUUUCUCCUCAGGAGGCCCCAAACAACAAUCCUGCACCUGCAGCUGCCCCAGUUCGAGUAAAUGACGUAUUUUGGGAACAAUUCCUUACGGAGAGACCAGGUUCUUCAGAUAAUGAAGAGGCAAGUUCAAGUUAUAGGGCAAACCCAUAUGAAGAGCAGGAAGAUAAAAGGUCGGGCCUUGGAAUGUCCAGAAAUGCUAAGAAUAUGGAGCAACUCACACUUUGAUGAUCAAAGUGUUAAAACCCAGCAAAAGGUUUAUAGAAGUUUCUACCUAAUCUUCUCAUGGUUACUAAGAACUUGUUACAUGCCCUUAGUUCCAGGUGGUUGCAAGUAAUAAAUUGGUCAUCAUUACAUAAGUUUUUCAGUUCUGAAUACUGCAAUGGUCAUGUAGCAUGGCUUCAGUGCAUAAGUUGUAUAAAUCUAACACAUUAUAUACAUUUUGCUAACUGUGUAAUUGAUUUGAUUCAUGUUUCUGUGCCGCCCUCUGCUUCUUUUGUUGCAAAGUACACUGGGUUUUUUUGUGGUUUUGAUGUACAUGUCUGGGUUUUUUUGUGGUUUUGAUGUACAUGUCUGUGCCGCCCUCUGCUUCUUUUGUUGCAAAGUACACUGGGUUUUUUUGUGGUUUUGAUGUACAUGUUUUUUUUUUUGGUAAAAGAACUGGUCAUUAAUUAUGUAUUUGCAAGUUUCUAUUUAGAUGAAAAACUUUUUAUUGUUCCUAUAGAAUUCAUCCUCGUUAAUCAUUUUCAGUCGUUAAUUUCGUUACCAAACUAUCACCUAACCACCAUCAAAGAAGUAAUGUAUUAUAUUGGUUGUUUGAUUUAAAGAUUGUUCAUUAAUCAAUAUCUAAUGUUCUUGCGUUGGUUCAAGAUUUUGAACCAUUGAUCUUACAUUAUACUCGUUAUCAAUUGAUAAAGUGUGCAAGCUGACUGAAAAAGAAUGGAUGGGAAUUUGCUUUGACCAUCCCUAAAUUGUGGCAUAAUUACAUGAAGAACGAUGAUCUUUUUGAUAAUUAACUAUGUAAGUAUCUGUGAUAACUCUAGUUGGGCAUGUUAUCACCUCUCUCCUUGUCCGUUAGGGGAAGGAUUCUAGUAUUUCGGUAAUUGUUGUUUGAACAUUACAUACUUAUUGCUUAUUGUUUUUAAGGAAUACUACACUUAUAAAUUAAUUUUUAUAUAAAUUGACGUAGCAUAAUAUCAUUGAUUGAGUGAAAAUAUAAAAGUUAUGUCAUAUUAAUUUGUAUGAAAGUUUGUAGUAGUAUCAGUAAUUAAGAAUUAAGAGUAAUAUGAUAGCUAUAAGUUCUUGUACAAAUUAUUUUUGUACAAAUUAAUGUGGCAUAUCAUUGGUUAAGUGAAAAUAUAAAAUAAUAAGGGUAAUUCAUUUGAGUUAUGUAGUGUUUUUAUUCAACCAACCAUGUUAUGUCACAUUAAUUUGUACAAAAAUAAUUUAUAUAAGAGUUUAUAAGUUUAAUUAUUUUAAAUUUUAAAUUCAAAAAAUAUCUGUGAAUUUUUAUCGGCUCAAAGUGAAAACUUCCGAUUGUGUUUAAAUAAAGGGUUAUAGAGGUACAGCAAGCCGAUUAUGCACUUAUUAUAAUGUUAUUAAAAAUUUAAUGAUGUCCUUACAUCUUUCAACUUACAACCUUCCGAUUGUAUUUAAUCUUUGCUUGAGAAAGAUCUAGCGAAAUUAGAAAUCCCUGUGUAAUAAAUAUAAUUUUGAUGACUCAUAAUUCAUAAGGUGACAGUGAAUGUGUUUAUCCUUGUAAAAUCUGGAAAUUUGUAUAUUGAAACUAGGUUUAAUUUUUAAUUUUGUACACCUAAAGGUUUACUCAUCAUUGUGGGGAUAAUAUUGUUGUAAAUGAGAUUUAUAAGUUACGACUAGCGGUUGAUUUAUUCUCUUAAUACUUGGGAUCUGUACAUUGAAUAUGAGAUUCAAUGUCAUUUUUGAAAAACUUUGGGAUUUAUAAAUUGGAUCGGAUUUGAGUUUUACUGAUGUAAAAUUUUGGGUUCACUUUUACAAUAUUGCUGCAAAUGAGAUACGACGCAUUGAAAUUAGGUUUGAUGUUGUUCUCGUAAAUAUUAAAGAGUUUGUACAUUUGUUUUAGUUUGUACAAACUCUCGUACAAACUUAUUUUAUACAAACUGAUGUGGCAUGAUAAAAUUAAUUGAAUUAAAUAUCACUUAACCCACAUAAUUUAUUUAUAUUAUUUUAUAUUUUCAUUCAACUAAUGAAUUAAUGCCACAUCAGUUUGUACAAGAUAAGUUUAUAUAAGAGUUUGUAAUUGUAUCAUCACUCUAUUAAAUAUAUGAUAUUUUUACCUUCAUUUUUCUUUACUUUUACAAUAAUACCCUUAUAAGAAUAUUCUUAAUGACAAUAAUGAAAAGAAAAAAAAAAGUUGAUUACUCAAACUAACACUAAAUUAAAAUUAAAAUUAAAGUAAAUUUUUAUUAUUAUUUUAUUAUUAUUUUACUUUCUGAGUUAAUUUGGUAACUUAAUUUUUUUUUAAUUGCUAAUUAUUAGCAAAACAGUAGGAUAUUAAACGUAGUUUUCAGUUGACUGGUAUUAAUUUAUUUAUAAAUAAUUAUUAGAAAGAUUUUCACAAGGAUACUUUUAGAUUGGUAAUUAUCAGUCAAUUUAUUAAUUAACUUUUUUAUGAAUAAAUAGAUUAAUGCUUCGUUCCAAGGGUGUUAUUAUAGUACCGACAAAGAAAAAUUAAAGUUGAAAGCGUCCUAUAUUUAACAGUAAUAAUAUUUUAAGAUAUCUUUUAGAAUAUAAAGAUUAAAUAAAAUAAACACUUGAGAAUAAAACUAACAUUUACCCUUUAUUAUAUUAACCUUAUUAUUAUUUAUUUGCAAUUAAUGUUUUUUUUUUUUUCUCUCCAUUCGCUUUCCGCGAUAAUCCUCUCUAUAUAUCCAAACGCUUCAAUUUUCGAUCUCGAACACGACGAAAUAUAUAAAGAUCAACACGACUCACGAGUCUCUUCACCUGAAUUAUGAUUAACGUAGGUUGAAAAAUGUAGAAUUAAAACCUAAAAGUAAUUUGUCAAGCAUGUAGCUCACGCAAUACAUAAUUACGGCUAAAGCUACGUGACAUGAAAGCAAUUAACUUUUGAGUGAAGACUUUAAAACACAAUCAAUCCAAAAUUUUGAUUAUGUCUCUCUUUUACGUAUAGUAUUUGAUUUUUAUCAUCUAAAUUACUUUUAACUUAAUAAUAAUUAAUUAUAAGAAAUUCUUUUGUCGUCUUUGAUCGUGACCCACUUUGACUACGAGGGUUAAGUUCCAAAUAAUUGUAUGGAAAUAUCCCUAUCCAUAUCCUUGCUUCAAUCUUCUUCAUUCAUGAGAACAGCAUCUUCAAAAGCUAAAUAUAUUCAACAUCUCACCCACUUGUACUCCAAAAGAAAAGAGCUCAAUCAAUCAAUAUUGAACUAACAACUAAUAAACCAAAAGGCAGUAAGCAAACUAGCAAGCUAAGCAAAUGCAAAAAUAAAUUUUAUAUAUAUAUAUAUAUAUAUAAAAUAAAGGCAAAGAAGAAUCUUGAUUCUUGAUGUAAUUAAUGACUGUUGUUCAUACAAAUUCUUUUUUUCUAAAUAUAAAUCCAACGGCUAAGAUCUGCACCCAUUCUAGCAGACCCCACACCACAUUAUUACACUUGAUUUCACAGAUUUAAUACACAGUUAUCUGUUGUAUGUAUAUAUCAUCAGCAUCAUAAAAUCUACAUCUAUUAUGCUACACACCAUCAACAGCUUGCAACGAUUGAUCACCACAACAAUAUAAUUUAAUUCACCCAAAAAAUUUAGAAAAAAAAAAAACAGCCAAUAUAAUUUAAUUCACCCAAAAAAUUUAGUCUACAUCUAUUAUGCUACACACCAUCAACAGCUUGCAACGAUUGAUCACCACAACAAUAUAAUUUAAUUCACCCAAAAAAUUUAGAAAAAAAAAAAACAGCCAUAUGAUUGAUUAUCAAGCGGACUCAUCGGGAUGCUGAAUAGUAGAAGUAGUAGUACUAAAACCAUUUUCCUUUUUUACCCUCGGUUGAAUCCCAUAAUAACUAACGUACCAUUUGACGAACUUCCUCAGGCCGGCGGCCAGAUCAGUGGUGGGCUUGUACCCGAAGUCUUUGUAAGCCAAGCUCACGUUGGCAUGCGUAUACGGCACGUCCCCAUUUCUCGGCAUUCUUAUCACAUGCUUUUUGGCCUUAGUGUUCAACAGAUUCUCCAAUAUCGACACCAAUCUCCCCACGGGCACUGGCGACGUGUUUCCGAGAUUGUAAACUCUCAGCUGAGCGGGGCCCCGCUUCUUCCCCCCGCUCCCCGUGCUCUUCCCCGCCGUGUCCAACGCCCCGACACAGCCCUUCACUACGUCAUCUAUGUAUGUGAAGUCACGCGCCACCUCCCUGUCAUCUUGCGUCUUGUACACAUCAAUGGUUUUGCCCUGUAAGAUAUCUUUGGUGAAGAAGAAGUAAGCCAUGUCGGGUCUCCCCCAGGGGCCGUACACGGUGAAGAACCUUAGGCCCGUGAGGGCAAGACCGUAAAUAUGGUUGUAAGUGUGGGCGAUUUCCUCCCCGGCUUUCUUAGUCGCCGCGUACAAACUCGCGGGCUGGUCGGUUCUGUGCGACUCGGAGAAGGGGACCUGGGUGUUGAGGCCGUACACCGAGCUCGAUGAGGCCCACACGAUCGACGGCUGAGGGUUCACCGAUUUGCAAACUUCGAGCAGGUUGACGAAUCCAGCGAUGUUGGAUGCCACGUAAGAUUGCG